UUGAAACUCAGGUUCUCGUACAAUCACCAAAGUUAAGCAACAUUGAGCCUGGUCACUAUCUAGAUGGGUGACCACUUGGGAAUACUACAUGCUGUAAU